UGACCUCGAUAGAGACCG
rnacentral:rRNA from 1 species